GAUGAACGCUAGCGGGAGGCCUAACACAUGCAAGCCGAGCGGGAUUUGUUGGUUAGCUUGCUAACUAACAAUGAGAGCGGCGUACGGGUGCGUAGCACGUGUGCAACCUGCCUUUAUCUGGGGGAUAGCCUUUCGAAAGGAAGAUUAAUACCCCAUAACAUAUUGAUUGGCAUCAGUUAAUAUUGAAAGCUCCGGCGGCUAGAGAUGGGCACGCGUAAGAUUAGCUAGUUGGUGAGGUAACGGCUCACCAAGGCUGCGAUCUUUAGGGGGCAUGAGAGGGUGAUCCCCCACACUGGUACUGAGACACGGACCAGACUCCUACGGGAGGCAGCAGUGAGGAAUAUUGGACAAUGGGUGAGAGCCUGAUCCAGCCAUCCCGCGUGAAGGACUAAGGACCUAUGGUUUGUAAACUUCUUUUAUACAGGGAUAAACCUACUCUCGUGAGGGUAGCUGAAGGUACUGUAUGAAUAAGCACCGGCUAACUCCGUG
rnacentral:rRNA from 1 species